CACCACGGGAACUCCUUUUUUUUUUUUUUUUUUGCAAACUUUUUCUUAAAUCUGAGAGUUAGGAAAAAUUUGCCUCAAGGGUCUUUAUAUAAGGAACAUUGAGGAUGUAACGGUCUGUGAACACUAGAGCAGUAAAGAAUAAAGAAAGUAGUUAUUCAACAUAUGGCUAUUUUUCAACCAAAGCCUCCAUGAAAGCAAAGGGCAUAGAGGUAAUGAUUUCGUCAAAACAUGCAGACUUCUGGUAACUUCCUCUAAUAGAAGAAUGACGACUAUUACACAAUGCUCAGAAAAUCUUGAAAAAUCAACAAGACCAUUAAGCUAGUGUGUCCCUAAGUUAAUCAUAUGUAAGAAUCACACAGGAACUGUUAAAAAAUGUAAAUUCUUAUAUUGCUCCCUAGGACUUUGGAGGUGAUACCAGGAAUCUACACAGAGGACAAGUGAUUCUCAAGUGAUUUAUGGAAAACCACCUCUUAUGAAUCACUAGUUUCAAAAAUCAGUUGUCACUAUUGGAACUGUUCUGAUUCAAGGUAGAAGACCCCAGGAGAGUCUGGCUGGUACACUGGUUGAAAGUAGGAGGAACCAUGGUCUCCAAGAUCACUUUGUCCCAGGAUGGCUCAUUCCCCUUGGUGGCUUCUAAAAUUACGUAUCUUUAAGACCACCCCAGAGCUGGAGAAUUCCUCUGUUGGCAUAGAAUUCAGAAACUUGCAUUUGAACUAAUAUUCCAGGUGAUUCUUUACAUGAUAAAAUUUGAAAAUCUUUUUUACAGUCUUUGUAUAAACCUUUGUAUACUGGACAUAUAAAUGGGGAAAAAAGAUAGAAAGAUACUUUAUUAUGAGAAGUAUAGAUCCCGACUUGAAAUAUGGCCACAGGGGAAGUCUGCUGGAAGAAUUCCCACAGGUCAGGCCAAGAUGUCCUAGAGACCAGUUUGAGAACUCUUCCUGUGCUCGAACCAGAAGUCAACUGAAUGUUGCACCGUCCAUUGCAAGUAAUUAAUCUCAAACUUUCAUCUCUAGGAAAUGCCCUACUAUGGCAUUGAUGGGCAUCACAGACUUACACUUCCAAAUAUAAUAAUCCUUCCUCUGAAAUCCUUCUUAAAUAACCCCUGAGCUAGAAGAGAUUUUCUAGUUUAUCUCAUUAAUUUUUUCAAUUUACAAAUGGAAAAAGCUGAAAGCCAGUGGUUCUGUCCAAAGUGACAUGGCCAAUUUUGGGACAUUUAGCUCAAAACUCUGGACCCCAGCACUACCACAACCCAAAUCCUUCUAUUACAGAUUUGCCAAGGCAGACUGUUGGUUUUUGUUUCCGUUUUUAAAGAAAGGAUUAUUUUAGAUAUUAUGAAAGAAAGAGGUAGUUCUUUUAAUAUGCUAUUUUUCAUAAAUUAUCCUCAGUAAAUGUUAAUUCUCUUUUCAGGAGGAGAGGUGAAUUUGACUUGGUUUUGGUCUUGGUUUUCUUUACCUAUUUGUUGUCUUCUGUUCUGGCUUGAGAAAUAAUAUUUUGGUUGUUUGACCCCUCUCUUUACCCAGAACCCACAUUUAUAAACCUCCCACUGUGACUGCAGGUUAAACCUGGACUUUCAGACAAAACAACCCGAAUGGACUGCUCGUUGAUCCUCAGUAUUGCUUUGACAUUUGUGCUAUGAUGUUUUACAGCCAGAAUGGAUCUGGGUCGAUCAGAACCUUACCCCUUCAUAAAAACAGUUCCUUCCUGACAUUUUCUUUUUUUAAUAUCUUUUAUAGUUGAUUUACAAUGUUGUAUCAAUUUAUGCUGUACACCAAAGUGACUCAGUUAUACAUAUAUAUAUGCAUUCCUUUUUAUACUUUUCUCCUUCCUCUAAUGAUACUUCCCAAAUUUCCUGACAUAAAUAAACCCUGGCUGUAAAUGAGUUUUAGCCCCUUCUCACUCCCCAAACUCAUCUAUAAAUCUAACGUUGACAUUAUACAUCCUGACUUUAUAUUCAAAAAAAACUUGGGAAGAAGUGGUGCUUUUUCUCUAGAGCUUUUACCUGUAAACAUGUUAUCCAUAAGUCUCCCAAAUGAUCUACAAAUCUGCUUUUAAAAAAUGGCUUCAAAGGGAAAAACUCGAAGUAAACACUAAUUAUUUUCCUGGGACACUUGAGAGUUUGCGUGUGUGUAUAUGCUUUUUCUUUUUCCUUUUACCUUCAUUUGAGCAAGGCCUUGUUAGCGUUUGAUUGGAGUGGUCCUAAAAGCCUGCUAAUGGCAGCUGUGAGGAAGAGAAGGCAUUAACACACAUUUCAGAAGAACAGGCUUAGUGAACAAGUCCCUGCACUUAACAGAGGAUGAAAAGCUCUUCUACCGGAAGUGCUAUUUCACCUGAGACUCUACUCAAGGAAAAGAUAUCUUCACUAAAACACAUGAAAAAGAUACUGUAAGCAGACAUCCUUUGUUUAGACUUAGGGAAUUUAAGAAGUUCUAUCAAAUGGGACAAUCGUAAUUAACAAAUCCUGCCCCAAAUGUUGAAAUUGCGUGUGAUUUCCGUAGUCUUGAAAAAUGUGUCAAGUAAGACAGGUGGAAUUUAUUUUUUUUAAUUUGACCCAUUAUUAUUAGAUUUAUUAAAAAUCCACUCACAUUUUAGGAAAUAUAGCCAAAAUGGAAGAUUUUCACUCAAUACAUCAUUUGUUGAUUAUUUCCUAGCUGCCAUGCACUGGUUACCAUAAACCAAUGGGAGAGAAUUUUUUUAUAUUCAUUCAACAACCAUUUCCUGUAAGUCUUCUUUGCUUCUGGGACUAGGAAUACAAAGAAGAGUAAAAGCUAAGCUCUCCCUGUCAAGGCUCUAUUGAUACGUAAGAAAAUAAUCACAAUUCCUUGUGGUAAGUGCUAGAAGAUGUUUAAAUGCUAAGUAAGUCCUUGAAACAAUCAACUCCUUUCCUGAGGUGAAAACAGAUUUAUUUCAAAGUCUUCUUAAAACUGAGAUUUAUAGUACAAGGUGUUAAUCAGGAUACGUGCACAUCCUAGAAGGCUUUCUCAGUGAAGAAAACUCAAGACUACAUAAGCAAAGGCAAAGUCAUGAACAGACAGCAUGUACAGAAGAGGAUUAAUACUUUGGUGUGUGUGUCUAUGUUGAGGAAGGAGGUGGUAAGAAUGUGUAACCAAGGAGGUCCUAUGGGGUUUCCCAGGACAGAUCCCCCACCACCACCACUGGCCCAGCAGUGUCCUCUCUCUGUCUCUUGCUUGGAGAAAAACUUUAGCCUUCCUUGAGUUCCAAAGUACAGAUUUAAUCAGAGAAGUGAGAAAAUGCAGAAACAGAGGAAAACAGUCCAGCAAGACCAAAUAAUUCUAGUUUGGCCAUUAAACAAAGUCAAGGACUUUAGUUCCUCCUCAAGGGCUAUAGAUAAUAUUCUGAGCCACAUCCUUUAAGCUGUUUUGCAGCUACUGAAACCCCCACCAGGCAGAAGUUAACUGCAUAACUGAUCACAAGCUCAUAGACCCUAAACCAGUUGGAACUAGAAGGUUGAUGAUAGAGACUUCCAACUACCUCAGCACCAACCAGUCAGAACAAGGUUCACGAGCUGAUCUCACACCCUACAAUCCUCUCCCUCAUGCUGCCUUCAAAAGACCCUUCCCUGAAACCCAUCUGGACAUUCAGGUCUUUUGAGCCACCCGUGUUCUUUGUUUGGUGCCUGCAGUAAAUACUUCACCACAUCCUGCUGUCAGUACAUUGGCUUUACUGUGCUUGGGUGAGUGAAUCCAAGUUUGGUUUGGUAACAAGUGAAAGUUUAGAGUAGAAGAGCAGAGAAAUGCCAGAUUAUAAAGGCUUGAUAUGCCCAGUAUUCUAUAUAAUGAUUUUUUAAACUUUACUCAUAACUCUUGGGGGUCAAAGAGAACCUAAACUGAAGAAGUAAAGAUAAAAAGGUGAAAAAUGUGGAAGAGGUACUUAUAUAUCUGAUUGUAAUAAACUGUAUUAGUUUCACAACAAAUAUGACUAUAUUUAGAAAAUUAACACAUCUGUGAACAUAGGUAAAUUUGAGGCUGCCUUUCACUUUUAGUCUCGAUGGUGAAUUUAAUUUAAAACUAUAAAUGUGGGAGUGUUUUUGGAAUAACAAAUGACAGCUAUCAUGUCUUAAAGCUAAUAUUUAUGCAUUUGCUACACUUAAAUGCUUCUCUCCUUUCUUGUCUGUGGUCUAUCUCAGUUCCACAUUUUUACUAUUUUAUAUUCUGACUUCUACCAGCAUCUACUGCAGUCUGGCUUGAAUGGGUCCUGAAUCAUCACUCUUUCUUAGCAUCACCUAGAGACUUCUUCUGUGAAGCAGUGCAGGUGAAUGUCAAUGAAACACUCACCUAAAAAUAAAAUAAAAAUACAUAAAUAUGCAUUGAGAGCUUCAAAAAUUGAACUAUAAACACCCAAUGCUAAAACAGGACAGAAAUAUAAAAAUGCAAUUUUGUAAGGGCUUUUCAAGGUCUUAGAGAAGUAAUUCUCAUAGAAUACAGAUUGAUAAAAAUACUGACUUCCAAUCAAACUCUUCCAGGCUAUUUUAAGUCUCAUCCUGUCAAUAAAAAACAGAUCUCAUCCUGUCAAUAGUUACAGUUACAGUCAAUCCAACUCUUACCCCAUCGCCCAUUAUACACACACACACACACACACACACACACACGUGUUUACAGUUAAGAGGAAGUUAUCAGGGCUAGUCAAAAUUGUAAUGGAAGUAACAUUUAUAUUUUCUUUUGUUACUGCACUGAUUCUUCAACAUUUUUCUUUCUUCCAUGCCUUUUCAAACUAAAACUGCUAAGUCAUCUCUUUCUCUCACACCUUCAAUCAUAUAUGUGAGCAUAUUCUAUUGGCUCUACCUUCUGAAUAUCUCUAAAAUCUGACCUCUUCUCACCACUUCCAUUUGUACCUCCCUUUUUAGAAUCUUGUGAUAAAGAAUCAAAAACAAAAAACCAAAAAAACAACAGUGAACAGACAUAUGGGAGAAAGGAAAUUUGUAUGACAUGCACAUGGUUGGUGAAAAGAAGGUACUACAAAGAGAAAAGAAUGGUCAGUAGAAAAAUAGUAGAUAAAAAAAAAAAGAUUUAAAGAGUUAACUAUUUACUUUUUACCUCCUUCAUAACACUUGAGUAACACAAGCAAAUACUUUAAUUACUUUGAUUUAGACUUAGUGACAUUAUAUGCUGCUGGAUUAUAACCUUGCUUUCUAUCUGGCCUAUAUGAGUUCUGGCUCAGAAUUACUGCAGAGUCUCCCUUGGUUGUUUUCAAUCAUUCCCAUGACUUCUAUAUGGUCCUUAUAUAGAUGAAUAUAUUUAUAACUCUAGGUCGCCUUUCUGUCCUGGGCACCAGUAUUAUACUUUAACCACCUGCACUUCAAACACAGUUUCCUUGUGUUUCUUUUCAACUUCCUCCUGGUUUUCUAGUCUCUGCAAUAGGCUCUAUUUACUAGUUAAACAGCAUCAACUUUGCCUCCUCCCUUCCUCUUCCCCAACUUUUGGUCAGUUGCCAAGUCCUAUCAUUUCUGUCUUUGCAUCAUCACAUCAAUAUUGCGUUGAUUAGGUCCUGGCAAGAUAACACACUCACACUGGGCAAUUUGAGGAGGGGUUAAUAAAGGCAGAGAUGCAAUGAUGUAAAGGAGGGGGAGAAUCUGUUAUUACUCCUGUGUUUAAAAGGUGAACAAGAGAAGAAAACUGUGAAUGAAGAGAGGAAGCUACCUGGAGAAGGCUGCCUAAUGGGAGCUAUGGCCUCGGUCACAGCAAGACCACGACAAUCCCCAAGAGAAGGAGCUGGUGGUGCUUUUGGAGGUAGGAGGAAGGAGGUAUAAAUAACUUGAUCUUACUCUCUUUCCUUUACUCUUUCCUCUGAUGUCCAGCCAGGGCACAUCAUUAGCUGAACUUAAUUAAAAGCCAAAGAAUAAAAACACCCAUUGAUAUAUCCUAAACGGUUCAGCUUCAAGAUACUAACACUCUGUAGAACAGGCCAUGGAGGGACAAAUGGAAGAAAUCAGCCCAGAUAACAUCCUCUUUAUUUCCCUUUUUAUUCCAUUAAUUUAACACCUUAUUUUCUCUUUCCUGAUCUGCUCUCUUCUAAAGAUCUACCUCCUUACUCCUACUAUGCCAAACAAUCCUGCCUUCUAUUCCAAAGGCACUGUCUCUACUGUGUUAAGUCUACAGACAUCCUUAAAAAUAGUCCAGAAGGAGUUCCCAUCUUGAUGCAGCAGAAACAAAUCUGACUAGGAACCAUGAGGUUUUGGGUUUGACCCCUGGCCUCAUUCAUGAAUUGAGGCUCCGGCAUUGCUGUGAGCUGUGGUGUAUGUCACAGAUGCGGCUUGGAUCUGGCAUUGCCAUGGCUGUGGCGUAGGGUGGCAGCAACAGCUCCAAUUCGAUCCCUAGCCUGGGAACCUUCAUAUGCUGUGGGUGCAGACCUAAAAAGAAAAAAGAGAGGAAAAAAAAAAAAA
rnacentral:lncRNA from 1 species